rnacentral:tRNA from 1 species
GCUCGGGUGGUGGAAUUGGUAGACACGCAAGCUUGAGGUGCUUGUGGGAGCAAUCCUGCGGGGGUUCAAGUCCCCCCUCGAGCA